UACGGAGGGUGCAAACGUUGCUCGGAAUCAUUGGGCGUAAAGCGUGUGUAGGCGGCCUGUUAAGUCGGGUGUGAAAGCCCCGGGCUCAACCCGGGAAGUGCAUUCGAUACUGGCAGGCUUGAGUACGGGAGAGGGUCGCGGAAUUCCCGGUGUAGCGGUGAAAUGCGUAGAGAUCGGGAGGAACACCAGUGGCGAAGGCGGCUACCUGGACCAGCACUGACACUGAGGCACGAAAAGCGUGGGGGAGCAAACAGG
rnacentral:rRNA from 1 species